UCUGCGUCUAAAGCUACAGAUUUCAACGAACUCGCUCCAUUUCCAGCGUCGUUCCCUUCUGCUAUGACGUCCAUGGAUGCUCUCCUCACUGCCAGCAAUGACUUCAGCUUUUCAAUGUCGCAAGCAGUCCCUGCCUCACCUCCAGAGAAGACUCUCUACGAUCUUCUGGAGCUGAAGUUCGACGGUUUUGGUUGCGAGCACCAAUUGCCCGGUCGGCUCGACGUCCAUGACAAUCGCGACGAAAAGCUGCAGUCGAGAGGUUUCCAGAGGUUGAGCAAUAGCCUGGCCAAGAGCUUUUCUUAUGCGCCUCAUUUGUUCCUGCCGCAAAAUACCACCCAGCAUGUUAGAAGCCAGUCCCUGGCAUACACCAGCAAACCUGAGAAGCAGUUCAACUUCGGCGGCUUCUUUAGCAGCUCCAACAACGAGAUUUCCAGCAGAAGCAGCAGCAAAAAUAGUCGCACCAG
rnacentral:lncRNA from 1 species